rnacentral:rRNA from 1 species
CAGUAGCCGCGGUAAUACGUAGGUGGCAAGCGUUGUCCGGAAUUAUUGGGCGUAAAGGGCUCGCAGGCGGUUUCUUAAGUCUGAUGUGAAAGCCCCCGGCUCAACCGGGGAGGGUCAUUGGAAACUGGGAAACUUGAGUGCAGAAGAGGAGAGUGGAAUUCCACGUGUAGCGGUGAAAUGCGUAGAGAUGUGGAGGAACACCAGUGGCGAAGGCGACUCUCUGGUCUGUAACUGACGCUGAGGAGCGAAAGCGUGGGGAGCGAACAGGAUUAGAGACCCCAGUAGUCCCUGUCUUCUUAUA